rnacentral:rRNA from 1 species
AACGAACGCUGGCGGCAUGCCUAACACAUGCAAGUCGAACGAGACCUUCGGGUCUAGUGGCGCACGGGUGCGUAACGCGUGGGAACCUGCACUUAGGUUCGGCAUAACUCCCCGAAAGGGGUGCUAAUACCGGAUAAUGUCUUCGGACCAAAGAUUUAUCGCCUUUGGAUGGGCCCGCGUUGGAUUAGCUAGUUGGUAGGGUAAAAGCCUACCAAGGCGACGAUCCAUAGCUGGUCUGAGAGGAUGAUCAGCCACACUGGGACUGAGACACGGCCCAGACUCCUACGGGAGGCAGCAGUGGGGAAUAUUGGACAAUGGGCGAAAGCCUGAUCCAGCAAUGCCGCGUGAGUGAUGAAGGCCUUAGGGUUGUAAAGCUCUUUUACCCGGGAUGAUAAUGACAGUACCGGGAGAAUAAGCUCCGGCUAACUCCGUG